rnacentral:rRNA from 1 species
GUGAGGAAUAUUGGUCAAUGGGCGGGAGCCUGAACCAGCCAAGUCGCGUGAAGGAAGAAGGAUCUAUGGUUCGUAAACUUCUUUUGCAGGGGAAUAAAGUGCGGGACGUGUCCUGUUUUGUAUGUACCCUGAGAAUAAGGAUCGGCUAACUCCGUGCCAGCAGCCGCGGUAAUACGGAGGAUCCGAGCGUUAUCCGGAUUUAUUGGGUUUAAAGGGUGUGUAGGUGGUUUGAUAAGUCAGCGGUGAAAGUUUGCAGCUUAACUGUAAAAAUGCCGUUGAAACUGUCGGACUUGAGUGUAAAUGAGGUAGGCGGAAUGCGUGGUGUAGCAGUGAAAUGCAUAGAUAUCACGCAGAACUCCGAUUGCGAAGGCAGCUUACUAAGCUACAACUGACACUGAAGCACGAAAGCGUGAGGAUCAAACAGGAUUAGAUACCCCUGUAGUCC